rnacentral:rRNA from 1 species
AGAGUUUGAUCCUGGCUCAGGACGAACGCUGGCGGCGUGCUUAACACAUGCAAGUCGAGCGAGGCUCCACUCUUCGGAGUGGAAGCCCUAGCGGCGAACGGGUGAGUAACACGUGGGCAACCUGCCCCUAGCACUGGGAUAACCCCGGGAAACCGGAGCUAAUACCGGAUAUGACCACAGACGGCAUCAUCUCGUGGUGGAAAGAUUUAUCGGCUAGGGAUGGGCCCGCGGCCUAUCAGCUUGUUGGUGGGGUAAUGGCCUACCAAGGCGACGACGGGUAGCCGGCCUGAGAGGGCGACCGGCCACACUGGGACUGAGACACGGCCCAGACUCCUACGGGAGGCAGCAGUGGGGAAUAUUGCGCAAUGGGCGAAAGCCUGACGCAGCGACGCCGCGUGAGGGAUGACGGCCUUCGGGUUGUAAACCUCUUGUCAGCUCCGACGAAGCGAAAGUGACGGUAGGAGCAGAAGAGGCACCGGCCAACUACGUGCCAGCAGCCGCGGUAAUACGUAGGGUGCAAGCGUUGUCCGGAAUUAUUGGGCGUAAAGAGCUCGUAGGCGGUUUGUCGCGUCGGCUGUGAAGACUCAUGGGCUCAACCCUGAGCCUGCAGUCGAGACUGGUCAGACUAGAAGUAUGGCAGGGGGANACUGNAUUUCCUGGGUGUAGCCGUGAAAUGCGCGGAUAUCAUGAGGACGCACCGGUGUCGAAAGCGAGUGUCGUGGGUGUCUUGUGGCCAUUACCCUUGACCCCCUGAUGGAAGCCAAAAAC